rnacentral:rRNA from 1 species
GACGAACGCUGGCGGCGUGCUUAACACAUGCAAGUCGAACGGAAAGGCCCUGCUUUUGUGGGGUGCUCGAGUGGCGAACGGGUGAGUAACACGUGAGUAACCUGCCCUUGACUUUGUGAUAACUUCAGGAAACUGGGGCUAAUACCGGAUAGGAGCUCCUGCUGCAUGUUGGGGGUUGGAAAGUUUCGGCGGUUGUGGAUGGACUCGCGGCUUAUCAGCUUGUUGGUGGGGUAGUGGCUUACCAAGGCUUUGACGGGUAGCCGGCCUGAGAGGGUGACCGGCCACAUUGGGACUGAGAUACGGCCCAGACUCCUACGGGAGGCAGCAGUGGGGAAUAUUGCACAAUGGGCGGAAGCCUGAUGCAGCAACGCCGCGUGCGGGAUGACGGCCUUCGGGUUGUAAACCGCUUUCGCCUGUGACGAAGCGUGAGUGACGGUAAUGGGUAAAGAAGCACCGGCUAACUACGUG